rnacentral:rRNA from 1 species
UCGAGAAUUUUUGACAAUGGGGGAAACCCUGAUCGAGCGACGCCGCGUGGAGGAUGAAGGUCUUCGGAUUGUAAACUCCUGUCAUUGGGGAACAAUGCACAGAUAUUAACUGUAUUUGUGUUGAUAGUACCCGAAGAGGAAGAGACGGCUAACUCUGUGCCAGCAGCCGCGGUAAUACAGAGGUCUCAAGCGUUGUUCGGAUUCAUUGGGCGUAAAGGGUGCGUAGGCGGCGCGGUAAGUCGGGUGUGAAAUCUCGGAGCUUAACUUCGAAACUGCAUUCGAUACUGCCGUGCUUGAGGACUGGAGAGGAGACUGGAAUUUACGGUGUAGCGGUGAAAUGCGUAGAUAUCGUAAGGAAGACCAGUGGCGAAGGCGGGUCUCUGGACAGUUCCUGACGCUGAGGCACGAAGGUCAGGGGAGCAAACG